rnacentral:rRNA from 1 species
GUCGGUGUUAAUAACGGUGAGGGUCCACCCGUUCCCAUCCCGAACACGGAAGUUAAGCUCAUUCGUGCCGAAGAUACUUGGCGGGCGACUGCCUGGGAAAAUAGGUCGAUGCCGACA